UGUUAUAUUAAUUGUUUUAUGUUAAGUUAAAUGUUUCUUACAUGGUAGGUAGGCUGUCACGAGGAGACCACACCAGGCAACUGUACAAGACCGUAACCAUGCCUAGUUCAUGAGUCUAUGGAAUCAAACGGGUGUCUAGGUUCUGGGCAAGUUUGAGUUAUCAACCGAUCACAGAAGCCUUUAUAGCUCG